rnacentral:rRNA from 1 species
GACGAACGCUGGCGGCGUGCCUAAUACAUGCAAGUCGAACGCUUCUUUCCUCCCGAGUGCUUGCACUCAAUUGGAAAGCGGAGUGGCGGACGGGUGAGUAACACGUGGGUAACCUACCCAUCAGAGGGGGAUAACACUUGGAAACAGGUGCUAAUACCGCAUAACAGUUUAUGCCGCAUGGCAUAAGAGUGAAAGGCGCUUUCGGGUGUCGCUGAUGGAUGGACCCGCGGUGCAUUAGCUAGUUGGUGAGGUAACGGCUCACCAAGGCCACGAUGCAUAGCCGACCUGAGAGGGUGAUCGGCCACACGGGGACUGAGACACGGCCCAGACUCCUACGGGAGGCAGCAGUAGGGAAUCUUCGGCAAUGGACGAAAGUCUGACCGAGCAACGCCGCGUGAGUGAAGAAGGUUUUCGGAUCGUAAAACUCUGUUGUUAGAGAAGAACAAGGACGUUAGUAACUGAACGUCCCCUGACGGUAUCUAACCAGAAAGCCACGGCUAACUACGUG